rnacentral:rRNA from 1 species
UACGAAGGGGGCUAGCGGUGUUCGGCCUCACUGGGCGUAAAGCGCACGCAGGCGGAUCGAUAAGUCGGGGGUGAAAGCCCGGGGCUCAACCUCGGAAUUGCCUUCGAUACUGUCGGUCUCGAGUCCGGGAGAGGUGAGUGGAAUUCCUAGUGUAGAGGUUAAAUUCGUAGAUAUUAGGAAGAACACCAGUGGCGAAGGCGGCUCACUGGCCCGGUACUGACGCUCAGGUGCGAAAGCGUGGGGAGCAAACAGG